rnacentral:sRNA from 1 species
GUAUAUUUUUUUUGUUCCUCCUUGCAUGCUUUUUAACAAGUUUUAUAAACAAAAUUAGACUAUAUUUAUAAUUUUCUGACAAAAUUUAGACACAUGUCAGCAUCGGACCCGGACAGUCUAAAAUGGAACGUACAAGCCGAGAUAGUCCACUGCCGAUGGGCUAUGCUAGGAGCCGCCGGGAUAUUCAUCCCAGAGUUCCUAACGAAGAUCGGAAUCCUCAACACUCCGUCAUGGUACACGGCGGGAGAGCAAGAGUAUUUCACGGACAAAACCACACUCUUUGUCGUUGAGCUCAUUUUGAUCGGAUGGGCAGAAGGACGUAGAUGGGCCGAUAUCAUCAAGCCCGGUAGCGUCAACACUGACCCAGUCUUCCCAAACAACAAACUGACGGGCACAGACGUUGGUUACCCAGGUGGGUUAUGGUUCGACCCGUUGGGUUGGGGAUCCGGUAGCCCGGCUAAGCUCAAGGAGUUGAGGACCAAGGAGAUCAAGAACGGAAGGUUGGCUAUGUUGGCAGUGAUGGGUGCUUGGUUCCAACACAUCUACACUGGCACUGGUCCUAUUGAUAACCUUUUUGCACAUCUUGCUGAUCCUGGUCACGCCACAAUCUUCGCUGUAAGUGUGAUCCAAAUCA